ensembl:lincRNA
AUGGUGAUCACACGUUCCACCUCGUCCUCGGUGAGCUCUCCUGCCCUCUUGGUGAGGUCGAUGUCUGCUUUCCUCAAGAUGUGCUGGAACCUCUCAGGAAUUACUAGAGACAUGGCGGCGGCCCCAGCGGCGGCAUGUAGGCCUCCAGUGGAAGAGCUGGAUGUGUAUUUUCGUUUCUUUCUUUUCUUUUUUUUUUUACUGUCACCUUGUUUAUUGAACUUAUAUGCACAGUACAUCAUGCAAAAUGCUGGGCUGGAUAAAUCACAAGCUGGGAUCAAGAUUGCUGAGAGAAAUAUCAACAACCUCAGAUAUGCAGAUGAUACUGUGUUUUCAUUUCUUUUGGGUAUAUACCUGCAGGUAGAACUGCUGGUUAUACAGCAACUUUACUACUGUCUGAUUUUUUAUAGAGCCAGGAGUUUCUGUCAGGACUUGCAUGAAGAAUACAUAUUUGAAAAGGCAGAGAAAAGUCUUAUUUUCAGACAUUUUAAAAGGUGCUAAAUGAAUAUCAUAAUCAGUUAAAUGUAACUUCGAUGAUUCUUAAAUUGAAAAAUAUGAGGCAAAAAAGAAGUUAAUUAAACACUUUCAUUAUUUGAGCCUUAAAGUUUUUAUUUCAUUGGACUUUAUUUCAUUGACCUUAAAGUAACUUCAUUGUUUGGGAAUCUAAGAUUAGGUUUAAUUUUUCUAUUUAUUUUUCACUUUUUGCCUGUGUUCCUACCACUAUUUCACUGCAACUUCCCCUAAUGAUUGGUGCCAUGACUGUCAAUACAGAAGAAGGUUUACCCGAUUUGCAGAAAAAGAAGAAGAAGAAAAAGAAAACACUCCUUCCCCAACAGAGGUUUUACAUACGUGUGAACAUAUAUUUCACAUUCUGGUAAGGUAGAGUAUUACACUAAUCUAGCUGAGUCUUUUCUUAGUCAUCUACCAUCUGGUCUGUAUACACUGAGUUACACUUGAAUUCUAGUUAAACCCAGCAGAUCCAUCUAACCGCUCCUAAGGUCGAAAUCCAGAUAUGAGAUGCUUCACUGCUACUCAGCUUAUCAAAGAAGGCUGAAUUCAACCAGGUUCCCAUCUUUCUGGGGUGGGAUCUAGGAAAUAUCAAGCACUUUCUUAUAAUACUGUGAGUAAAAGACUCUUGAACUCUGGGUUUGCUUUGUUCCAAUACUCCACACCAGUCCACAGCAUGAAGAAAGCAAAAACCUGACAAGUUAAAGCCCAACUUUCAAGACUUUGGAAAUGGCUGUGGAAAUAAUUUUCUCUUCUAUUUUAAUGCUUCUUAACCCUGAUUAUAGUUAUAAAUAAUGCUUAUUUUUAUCUAAUGAGGCUAACAUCACGUAUGAUAGCAUUUUAUCUGAGGAGGCAUAAAAAUAGAGCAAGAAAUCAUUACUAACAAUGCAAAGCAAAUUUGAAAAAUCAGCAAAGUUUAAAAUAAAAUGUUCCUAGUUGAUGUCAUGUGCUACUUGCCUAAUGAUAAAGGUAGCACAUGAUUAUAACUCAAUCCAGAGCACUUUUUCAACUUCUUCUGUGGUACUGCAGGCUUUGGGUGACUCCUUUGUAUAUACCUGGGCACAACUGCAGCUCAGGAAACUCUUGCUUCUGG